UACAGAGGUCCCGAGCGUUGUUCGGAUUUAUUGGGCGUAAAGGGCGCGUAGGUGGCCCGGUCAGUCGAUGGUGAAAGCGCGGGGCUCAACUCCGCGUCGGCCGUCGAUACUGCUGGGCUUGAGCACUGUAGAGGCAGGCGGAAUUCCGGGUGUAGCGGUGGAAUGCGUAGAGAUCCGGAAGAACACCGGUGGCGAAGGCGGCCUGCUGGGCAGUGGCUGACACUGAGGCGCGACAGCGUGGGGAGCAAACAGG
rnacentral:rRNA from 1 species